rnacentral:rRNA from 1 species
GAUGAACGCUGGCGGCGUGCCUAAUACAUGCAAGUAGAACGCUGAAGGAAGGAGCUUGCUCUUUCCGGAUGAGUUGCGAGCGGGUGAGUAACGCGUAGGUAACCUGCCUGGUAGCGGGGGAUAACUAUUGGAAACGAUAGCUAAUACCGCAUAACAGUAGAUAUUGCAUGAUAUCUGCUUGAAAGGGGCAAUUGCUCCACUACCAGAUGGACCUGCGUUGUAUUAGCUAGUUGGUGAGGUAACGGCUCACCAAGGCGACGAUACAUAGCCGACCUGAGAGGGUGAUCGGCCACACUGGGACUGAGACACGGCCCAGACUCCUACGGGAGGCAGCAGUAGGGAAUCUUCGGCAAUGGGGGGAACCCUGACCGAGCAACGCCGCGUGAGUGAAGAAGGUUUUCGGAUCGUAAAGCUCUGUUGUAAGAGAAGAACGAGUGUGAGAGUGGAAAGUUCACACUGUGACGGUAUCUUACCAGAAAGGGACGGCU